GUGCCAGCAGCCGCGGUAAUACAGAGGUCCCAAGCGUUGUUCGGAUUCAUUGGGCGUAAAGGGUGCGUAGGUGGCGCUGUAAGUCGGGUGUGAAAUCCUGGAGCUUAACUCCGAAACUGCAUUCGAUACUGCCGUGCUUGAGGACUGGAGAGGAGACUGGAAUUUACGGCGUAGCGGUGAAAUGCGUAGAUAUCGUAAGGAAGACCAGUGGCGAAGGCGGGUCUCUGGACAGUUCCUGACGCUGAGGCACGAAGGUCAGGGGAGCAAACGGGAUUAGAAACCCGGGUAGUCC
rnacentral:rRNA from 1 species